GAUCCUGGCUCAGAUUGAACGCUGGCGGCAUGCCUUACACAUGCAAGUCGAACGGCAGCGGGGGAGCUUGCUCCUGUCCGGCGAGUGGCGAACGGGUGAGUAAUGCAAUCGGAACGUGUCCUGUCGUGGGGGGAUAACUGGCCGAAAGGUCAGCUAAUACCGCAUGAGACCCGAGGGUGAAAGCGGGGGAUCGCAAGACCUCGCGCGACUGGAGCGGCCGAUGUCUGAGUUAGCG
rnacentral:rRNA from 1 species